rnacentral:rRNA from 1 species
UGGGGAAUAUUGCACAAUGGGCGCAAGCCUGAUGCAGCAACGCCGCGUGAGGGACGACGGCCUUCGGGUUGUAAACCUCUUUUGGCAGGGAAGAAGCGAAAGUGACGGUACCUGCAGAAAAAGCACCGGCUAACUACGUGCCAGCAGCCGCGGUGAUACGUAGGGUGCAAGCGUUGUCCGGAAUUACUGGGCGUAAAGCGUGCGCAGGCGGUUUGUUAAGUCUGCUGUGAAAUCCCCGAGCUCAACUUGGGAAUUGCAGUGGAUACUGGCAAGCUGGAGUACGGUAGAGGAAGGUGGAAUUCCCGGUGUAGCAGUGAAAUGCGUAGAGAUCGGGAGGAACACCCGUGGCGAAGGCGGCCUUCUGGACCAGUACUGACGCUCAUGCACGAAAGCGUGGGGAGCAAACA